UACAGAGGGGGCAAGCGUUAUUCGGAAUUAUUGGGCGUAAAGGGCGCGUAGGCGGCUAGAUGUGUCAAAGGUGAAAUCCCUCGGCUCAACUGAGGAACUGCCUUUGAAACUGUCUGGCUUGAGGCCGGGAGAGGGUAGCGGAAUUCCCAGUGUAGCGGUGAAAUGCGUAGAUAUUGGGAGGAACACCAGUGGCGAAGGCGGCUACCUGGACCGGUUCUGACGCUGAGGCGCGAAAGCGUGGGUAGCAAACAGG
rnacentral:rRNA from 1 species